rnacentral:rRNA from 1 species
GACGAAGGAUGCAAGCGUUAUCCGGAUUCAUUGGGUUUAAAGGGAGCGUAGGCGGACUUGUAAGUCAGUGGUGAAAUCUGUGGGCUUAACCCACAAACUGCCAUUGAUACUGCAGGUCUAGAGUACAGUUGCCGUUGGCGGAAUAUGACAUGUAGUGGUGAAAUACUUAGAUAUGUCAUAGAACACCGAUUGCGAAGGCAGCUAACGAAGCUGUAACUGACGCUGAGGCUCGAAAGUGCGGGGGAUCAAACAGG